UACGGGAGGCAGCAGUGGGGAAUAUUGCACAAUGGGCGAAAGCCUGAUGCAGCUAUGCCGCGUGUAUGAAGAAGGCCUUAGGGUUGUAAAGUACUUUCAUCGGGGAGGAAAAAACAAAACUAAUAAUUUUAUUUCUUGACGUUACCCGAAAAAGAAGCACCGGCUAACUCCGUGCCAGCAGCCGCGGUAAUACGGAGGGUGCUAGCGUUAAUCAGAAUUACUGGGCGUAAAGAGCACGUAGGUGGUUUUUUUUAAGUCAGAUGUGAAAUCCCUGGGCUUAACCUAGGAACUGCAUUUUGAAACUGAAAUACUAGAGUAUCGUAGAGGGAGGUAGAAUUCUAGGUGUAGCGGUGAAAUGCGUAGAUAUCUGGAGGAAUACCUGUGGCGAAAGCGGCCUCCUAAACGAAUACUGACACUGAGGGUGCGAAAGCGUGGGGAGCAAACAGGGAUUAGAU
rnacentral:rRNA from 1 species